GUGUGAUGCGGUACAUGAAAGAGAUAGUCUUAGAUGAAUAUCCACAAUUGGAGAGAAAGUUUGCAGCAUCAAAAAACAAACAGUAUUACAAUCAAUAUCAGUAUGAUGAAGUCAGAAGUGAAUGGAGCGAAUUCGUCUAUUUCUAUGUGGGUGUCUAAGUGUAGACUAUGAUAUAAAUUUUAGAUUGUAUUUAGAGAUUUAUGGAUAUAAAAUUUUUUGGGUUAUGGUUAAACAUUUCUUUUAUGAAUACACUUUUGGAUUGUAUUUGAUAGAUAUUUGUGAUAUAUUUGUUCAAUUUUGGUGAUGAAAA